rnacentral:rRNA from 1 species
AUUGAACGCUGGCGGCAGGCCUAACACAUGCAAGUCGAACGAGUGGCGGACGGGUGAGUGAUGUAUGGGAAACUGCCUGACGGAGGGGGAUAACUACGGGAAAACGUAGCUAAUACCGCAUACCCUCGGAUGUGCCCAGAUGGGAUUAGCUAGUAGGGGGGGAAAAGGCUCACCUAGGCGACGCUCCCUAGCUGGGCUGAGAGGAGGACCAGGCACACUGGAACUUAGAAACGGUCCAGACUCCUACGGGAGGCAGCAGUGGGGAAUAUUGCGCAAUGGGCGCAAGCCUGAUGCAGCCAUGCCGCGUGUAUGAAGAAGGCCUUCGGGUUGUAAAGUACUUUCAGCGGGGAGGCGUUACCCGCAGAAGAAGCACCGGCUAACUCCGUGCCAGCAGCCGCGGUAAUAC